ACGGGCCGCACAAGCGGUGGAGCAUGUGUUUAAUUCGACGACACGACGAAGUAACCUUACCGAGGGCUUGACACUCCCCUCGACCGCGUAUGAAAGUUACGUUUUCACCCUCGGGUGACAGGGAGACAGGUGGUGCAUGGUUGUCGUCAGCUCGUGUCGUGAGAUGUUGGUUAAGUCCCGCAACGAGCGCAACCCCUACGUUUAGUUGCUAACGCGUGAAGGCGAGCACUCUAGACGAACUGCCGUUGACAAAACGGAGGAAGGUGGGGAUGACGUCAAAUCAUCAUGCCCCUUAUGUUCUGGGCUACACACGUGCUACAAUGGCCGGUACAGACGGACGCAAAGCCGCGAGGUGGAGCAAAUCCUAAAAAGCCGGUCUCAGUUCGGAUUGCAGGCUGCAAUUCGCCUGCAUGAAGUCGGAAUCGCUAGUAAUCGCGGAUCAGCAUGCCGCGGUGAAUACGUUCCCGGGCCUU
rnacentral:rRNA from 1 species